CGCGUAGGCGGCCGAGCAAGGUCGUGGUGAAAGCCCGGGGCUCAACCCCGGGUCGGCCAUGGCAACUACUCGGCUCGAGCACGGUAGAGGCGGGUGGAAUUCCGGGUGUAGCGGUGGAAUGCGUAGAGAUCCGGAAGAACACCGGUGGCGAAGGCGGCCCGCUGGGCCGUGGCUGACGCUGAGGCGCGACAGCGUGGGGAGCAAACA
rnacentral:rRNA from 1 species